ACACCAGCCAGUCUCCUCAUUCUGGUGGUCUGGUUUUGUGAAACAACCAUGAUGAAAUGUUAUGAAGCUGGAUAUUUAUAGCCUCUGACAUUUAGAGAUAAAGGUAAUGGAGUGAGGAGCACACAGCCAGGGGUUUCUACUCAAGGCACACUGCUGAACAGUCUCAGAUGGUGGUUACAUCAUCUGUUGGUAUGGCUACCUCACCCCACUCUUGAUAAGUAUUCUAGACUGUCUCUGCGUCACACUCUGACAGGGAUCACACGCAGCACAAACGAGCGCGCGCGCGCAGUUACGCUUGCCAGGAUGGUAAAGCCCAAACUUUCACGUAUACCAUAACAAGUAUUCUAUUGCAAACACCAACAGAUAAUAACAGGCUCACAGGGACCUGUGUUCCUCUGGUCCAGACAUCGGGUUCGCCUAUAAUGAAGACAGAAUGGCUUCCGAAGUGCUGUAAGACCUUUCAUCGCUGCAGGCCAGGCCUGGGCACAGGCCUUCCGGGGGGGCAUGGGCUGAAACGACACCCAGCCCCAACCCCAGGGGCUAUCGGUUCACGUGCCAGGUGCAGACGGUCAUUACCCUACCUGACGUUAAGACAAUGAUGUCUACAACUGAAGGAAAAUCAUCUGUUAAGGCUACUUCUGAAGAGAACCACCGACAUACUUUUUCUGGGUGAUUCCGCAAGAUCUUCAGAGAGGAUAACUUGCAAUGUA